GUGCUCGCUUCAGCAGCAUAUUUACUAAAAUUGGCACACUACAGAGAAGAUUAGCAUGGCCCCUGUGCAAGGAUGCCACACAAAUUCAUGAAGCGUUCCAUAUUUAA
ensembl:snRNA U6 U6 spliceosomal RNA